UUUAUAUUUAUGUGUGUUUUCUCACAGUUUAGCACAAAUGUUUCCCGUGGAAGUUUGAAUCUCUCUCAGUCAGGGGGGAGAUUGACUGACUGACUGUUUACUCGCCACCAAACAGUAAUUUACCCUGAAACCUUUUACAGUAAGGACUAACGUUAACUGACUGUCUGUCUGCUCUCAACCAAACAGUCAUUCAGGACCUUGUAAAGUUUAGCGCAAACGUUUCCUGCGCAAGUUUGAAUCUCUCAGUCAGGGGGGAGAUUGACUGACUGACUGACUGACUGACUGUCUACUCGCCACCAGUCAGUUACACAGAAACCUU